rnacentral:rRNA from 1 species
CGAUGGCCACACUGUCUCCUCCUGAGACUCAGCGAAGUUGAAAUGUUUGUGAUGAUGCAAUCUCCCCGCGGAAAGACGGAAAGACCCCAUGAACCUUUACUGUAGCUUUGUAUUGGACUUUGAACGGAUCUGUGUAGGAUAGGUGGGAGGCUUUGAAGCGGUGCCGCUAGGUAUCGUGGAGCCAACGUUGAAAUACCACCCUGGUGCGUUUGAGGUUCUAACCUAGGCCCGUUAUCCGGGUCGGGGACAGUGCAUGGUAGGCAGUUUGACUGGGGCGGUCUCCUCCCAAAGUGUAACGGAGGAGUUCGAAGGUACGCUAGUUACGGUCGGACAUCGUGACGAUAGUGCAAUGGCAUAAGCGUGCUUAACUGCGAGACUGACAAGUCGAGCAGAUGCGAAAGCAGGACAUAGUGAUCCGGUGGUUCUGUAUGGAAGGGCCAUCGCUCAACGGAUAAAAGGUACUCUGGGGAUAACAGGCUGAUACCGCCCAAGAGUUCAUAUCGACGGCGGUGUUUGGCACCUCGAUGUCGGCUCAUCUCAUCCUGGGGCUGUAGCCGGUCCCAAGGGUAUGGCUGUUCGCCAUUUAAAGAGGUACGUGAGCUGGGUUUAAAACGUCGUGAGACAGUUUGGUCCCUAUCUUCCGUGGGCGCUGCAGAUUUGAAGAAGCCUGCUCCUAGUACGAGAGGACCGGAGUGGACGCACCUCUGGUGUAUCGGUUGUCACGCCAGUGGCAUUGCCGAGUAGCUAAGUGCGGAAGAGAUAACCGCUGAAAGCAUCUAAGCGGGAAACUCGUUCUAAGAUGAGAUCUGCCGGGGCCUUGAGCCCCCUGAAGAGUCGUUCAAGACCAGGACGUUGAUAGGUCGGGUGUGGAAGCGCAGCAAUGCGUUAAGCUAACCGAUACUAAUUGCUCGUGCGACUUGACCCU